CGAUACUUGGUGUGAAUUGCAGAAUUCAGUGAAUCAUCGAAUCUUUGAACGCACAUUGCGCCCGCCAGCAUUUCCUGGCGGGCAUUGCCCUGUUCGAGCGUCAUUUCAACCCUCAAGCUCUGCUUGGUGUUGGGGCCCUACAGCUGAUGUAGGCCCUCAAAGGUAGUGGCGGACCCUCCCGGAGCCUCCUUUGCGUAGUAACUUUACGUCUCGCACUGGGAUCCGGAGGGACUCYUGCCGUAAAACCCCCCAAUUUUCCAAAGGUUGACCUCGGAUCAGGUAGGAAUACCCGCUGAACUUAAGCAUAUAAAUAAGCGGAGGAA
rnacentral:rRNA from 1 species